UACGUAGGGGGCUAGCGUUGUCCGGAAUCAUUGGGCGUAAAGAGCGCGUAGGCGGCUGGAAUAGUCCGGUGUGAAAUCCACAGGCUUAACCUGUGAAUGCCGCUGGAAACUGUCUGGCUAGAGUCCGGAAGAGGCGAGUGGAAUUCCUGGUGUAGCGGUGGAAUGCGCAGAUAUCGGGAGGAACACCAGCGGCGAAGGCGGCACUCUGGGCUGGUACUGACGCUGAGGCACGAAGGUCAGGGGAGCAAACGGG
rnacentral:rRNA from 1 species